GAGGGGGUGAUUAGUGACAGAGUGAGGGAGGGGGUGACUAGUGACAGUGAGGGAGCGGGUGACAGUGACAGAGUUAGGGAGGGAGUGACUAGUGACAGUCACUCCCUCCCUCUGUCACUAGUCACUCCCUCUGUCACCAGUCAUCCCCUCACUCUGUCACCAGUCACCCCUUCCCUCCCUCACUCUGCCACUAGUCACCCAUUCCCUAACUCUGUCACUAGUCACCCCCUCUC